GUGGAUGAACUAAUAAUUUCUCUGUAACACGUCCUGAAAACCUGUGUUUGGGGCCUGGGAGAGAAAGUGAAGGAACAUCGGUCAAUUGAGACACAGGAGGUGACCUAGAAGAAUGUGGAUCCUGCAUUCCUCAGUCCAGUCUUGAUGAUAUUGGACCAAAAUAAAAACAAUAAUAAUUGGUCUUAAAGUCAAAUUCAGAGUUUUUAAGAUAAGACAAAAUAUAUAGUUUCCUUUACAGGAUGCUUAUAAACAUCCAUAUAAUUACUCAGAAGGAAAUUCAGUAAGGAUUUUAGUCCUCAUUCUUCAAUUUCCACGGGCUAAGAUUGACAUCCCGAGGUGCCACACCCAGUGAGUGUUAAACUGUGCUAACGUCAGGUACCACUCUCUCAUCCCAGGAUUUAUUUCGUUACCCAACUCUGAAUUUAAUAUCUGAUUAUCAGUGUAGCCACCAUGAGAGAAGGGCCAGAUUUUCUAUAUCAGCCCUCCAUCAAAACCCCACAUUUCACUCCUAAAGAAAACAGGACAUCCUUCUGGCUUAGGGCAUUAUAUUCAACUUUGCCGACUAGAGAUUUCUCCUAUCAAACGUGGCUACCCCAGAUUUCUCCAUAGAAGUCAGACAUAGGAGUAAUGCGUUCUUCACAUUAAUCACACAGUAUAUAAGCCAGGAGCAGGGUGUCAGAGAAUCUCUUCUCGACAACAUCUUUUAUCCAUCAGUUUGAUUUUAUUUAGCAGAAAAGACAUCAGAGCUGGGGGCAGCCACCCCUUCCAGCCCUUCUAAGACUAAAGAUGAUCCCUACUGAUGCUGCUCAUCUUAGUUUCCUUAUCUGCAGAACCAGUGGACUCCUAACUCCUGAACAUUUAAUACUUGUCUUAUCAGAUUUAAUUGGCGAAACAUUUUGUUUUCUUAUACUAGUUCAAAAGGAAACUAAAUCAUUUGUAGGUGACUUGGCAAAAUUGAAUGCUGAUUAAAUUCAACUACAAUAAAAAAUUGGUUUACCUUCUACCUUUCCAGGCAAGGAAUAGAGAAGGAAACCAACUACUUCAACAUAAAUAAGAUGGUUGAACCUUUAGAAUUUUCCAAAGGAUUGAAUGGAAAUGUCAUGAAGAAUGAAAGCAAUGAGAUAGGAGAGCAACAUUGGCUUGCAUCCUUGCAUCAUUCUUCCUCUUAGCUCCACCUCCCUUAUCCACUUAUGUGUCCAUCUGCCUGUCUAUCCCUCUAUCCAUUGUCCUAUCCAUAUCCGCCCGUCAUCUAUCAUCCAUGUCUAUCUAUGAACAAUAUGUGCGGUUGUCUAUCCAUCUAUCUCUCUAUUCUUAUUUUUAAACUUUCUUUAUUUGACAAGCAUACACUGGGCACUUAUGACCUUAGUCAGUCCCUCUAUUAGUAGGGAUAUCAUAGUCAAUAAAGUAAAGACCUGCCCUCAGUUAGCUUAUUACGGAGAGAUUGAUGAGUGACUGCUGAUGUCAUGUAACACAUUCUGGCUGUCAACAGAGACUUGAGUGUAUUGUCAGUGCGUAGCAUAAACAUGAAUGCCGGGGUGUCAUUUGACACUAUCUGGAAAACAGGUUUCUGUUAAGAGAGGAACUGGUGGGAAAAACAAGGAAAAACAAAAGGAAGAAAGCAUCCCAGCACUGGAUGCGUGUAUUCUUUACCACCACUUGGAGAGUUUGCUAUUCCAUUUAAUAUGUUGCCAUCCCAGGUGAAAACAACAGAGAAUUUCAGUUAUUAUCCAAAUGGGAUUAAGAAUCUGCUUCCCACACUGACGUGCUGAUCUAACACACUUUCCUCUUUGGAUUUGGUCUUUUAAACACAGCCUAUUAAAAGUUGCUUUAAUUGGCAUUUUGUUAGAAAGUUAAUGCAAACUUACCAAAAAUAGCUUGUGAGAGAAGCAGAUAAGAACACAAAAGAAAAAUACAUUCUAAUUGCAUAAAUUCUUUUCUUUCAGUCAAGCUUCUUUUCAAAGGCAGUUUUAAAAAAAGUGGCUCAAUAAGUUACCGUUCGGCAGUCUUGUCUCUCUGGCAGCCUCCAUUCGCCCUUGAGGGAUCUCUUCCACUCCUGCUUCUAUCCCUCUGUCCAUAUGUUGUCGGUUAGAAGUCUUUCUUAUUCACCCAACCAAUGCUAUGGAUGAUGUAUUGCGUAUUGCCCCUUGCUACACACUAUCUCAGUUGGUUUGACUCUGUUCUGUUUACCCCUUUGCUAAGAAACUACCUGUUCAUGUGUGUCCUUUGAGAGCUGUUCAUAAAUCCUGUGUCACAGAGGUUUCACUAUAGUCAAUUUUUGUUCUUCUCAAACACAAAGAUCCACAUUGCCCAUCUUGUGCCAGGUAACAAAGGUAAAAUAGACUCAUAGUCCUCCCCUCCAAAACGCACAUUGACCUGUGGG
rnacentral:lncRNA from 1 species